CCUACGGGGGGCAGCAGUGGGGAAUAUUGGACAAUGGGGGCAACCCUGAUCCAGCCAUGCCGCGUGUGUGAAGAAGGCCCUCGGGUUGUAAAGCACUUUCAGUGAGGAAGAACGCCUGGUGGUUAAUACCCAUCAGGAAAGACAUCACUCACAGAAGAAGCACCGGCUAACUCCGUGCCAGCAGCCGCGGUAAUACGGAGGGUGCGAGCGUUAAUCGGUAUUACUGGGCGUAAAGCGCGCGUAGGUGGCUUGAUAAGCCGGUUGUGAAAGCCCCGGGCUCAACCUGGGAACGGCAUCCGGAACUGUCAAGCUAGAGUGCAGGAGAGGAAGGUAGAAUUCCCGGUGUAGCGGUGAAAUGCGUAGAGAUCGGGAGGAAUACCAGUGGCGAAGGCGGCCUUCUGGACUGACACUGACACUGAGGUGCGAAAGCGUGGGUAGCAAACAGGAUUAGAUACCCGAGUAGUC
rnacentral:rRNA from 1 species